rnacentral:tRNA from 1 species
GCCCCCUUAGCUCAGGGGAUAGAGCGUCUACCUCCGGAGUAGAAGGCCGCUGGUUCGAAUCCAGCAGGGGGCACCA